GAUGAACGCUGGCGGCGUGCCUAAUACAUGCAAGUCGAGCGAACAGACGAGGAGCUUGCUCCUCUGACGUUAGCGGCGGACGGGUGAGUAACACGUGGAUAACCUACCUAUAAGGCUGGGAUAACUUCGGGAAACCGGAGCUAAUACCGGAUAAUAUAUUGAACCGCAUGGUUCAAUAGUGAAAGACGGUUUUGCUGUCACUUAUAGAUGGAUCCGCGCCGCAUUAGCUAGUUGGUAAGGUAACGGCUUACCAAGGCGACGAUGCGUAGCCGACCUGAGAGGGUGAUCGGCCACACUGGAACUGAGACACGGUCCAGACUCCUACGGGAGGCAGCAGUAGGGAAUCUUCCGCAAUGGGCGAAAGCCUGACGGAGCAACGCCGCGUGAGUGAUGUAGGUCUUCGGAUCGUAAAACUCUGUUAUUAGGGAAGAACAAAUGUGUAAGUAACUAUGCACGUCUUGACGGUACCUAAUCAGAAAGCCACGGCUAACUACGUG
rnacentral:rRNA from 1 species